ACUCUAAGCGGUGGAUCACUCGGCUCAUGGGUCGAUGAAGAACGCAGCAAACUGUGCGUCAUCGUGUGAACUGCAGGACACAUGAACAUCGACAUUUUGAACGCAUAUCGCAGUCCAUGCUGUUAUGUACUUUAAUUAAUUUUAUAGUGCUGCUUGGACUACAUAUGGUUGAGGGUUGUAAGACUAUGCUAAUUAAGUUGCUUAUAAAUUUUUAUAAGCAUAUGGUAUAUUAUUGGAUAAAUAUAAUAAUUUUUAUUCAUAAUAUUAAAAAAUAAAUGAAAAACAUUAUCUCACAUUUGAAUGUGAAAAACGAAGAGAAAUAUUUUCUUUUUCAAUCAAAUAAUACUGAGAAAUGUCUAGCAUAAAAAAUUGAAAUAUUUUUCAUCUAGAAUUGUCUCUUAUUAAUGAUUCGGAAAUAGAAAAAUCUUGGUUAUGUUAUUAUUCUUCGUUGGUUCGUUAAAAAUGGAUAAAUAAAAACUUUGCAUACAAGAAUUAAUAAAAAUGUUAUAACGAAUUUAAUUAAAUGUUUUAUCAUUAUAUAUAAAGAAUUUAUGGCAAGAUAAAGUUAUAUACAACCUCAACUCAUAUGGGACUACCCCCUGAAUUUAAGCAUAUUAAUUAGGGGAGGAAAAGAAACUAACAAGGAUUUUCUUAGUAGCGGCGAGCGAAAAGAAAACAGUUCAGCACUAAGUCACUUUGUCUAUAUGGCAAAUGUGAGAUGCAGUGUAUGGAGCGUCAAUAUUCUAGUAUGAGAAAUUAACGAUUUAAGUCCUUCUUAAAUGAGGCCAUUUACCCAUAGAGGGUGCCAGGCCCGUAUAACGUUAAUGAUUACUAGAUGAUGUUUCCAAAGAGUCGUGUUGCUUGAUAGUGCAGCACUAAGUGGGUGGUAAACUCCAUCUAAAACUAAAUAUAACCAUGAGACCGAUAGUAAACAAGUACCGUGAGGGAAAGUUGAAAAGAACUCUGAAUAGAGAGUUAAACAGUACGUGAAACUGCUUAGAGGUUAAGCCCGAUGAACCUGAAUAUCCGUUAUGGAAAAUUCAUCAUUAAAAUUGUAAUAUUUAAAUAAUAUUAUGAGAAUAGUGUGCAUUUUUUCCAUAUAAGGACAUUGUAAUCUAUUAGCAUAUACCAAAUUUAUCAUAAAAUAUAACUUAUAGUUUAUUCCAAUUAAAUUGCUUGCAUUUUAACACAGAAUAAAUGUUAUUAAUUUGAUAAAGUGCUGAUAGAUUUAUAUGAUUACAGUGCGUUAAUUUUUCGGAAUUAUAUAAUGGCAUAAUUAUCAUUGAUUUUUGUGUUUAUUAUAUGCACUUGUAUGAUUAACAAUGCGAAAGAUUCAGGAUACCUUCGGGACCCGUCUUGAAACACGGACCAAGGAGUCUAACAUAUGUGCAAGUUAUUGGGAUAUAAACCUAAUAGCGUAAUUAACUUGACUAAUAAUGGGAUUAGUUUUUUAGCUAUUUAUAGCUAAUUAACACAAUCCCGGGGCGUUCUAUAUAGUUAUGUAUAAUGUAUAUUUAUAUUAUUUAUGCCUCUAACUGGAACGUACCUUGAGCAUAUAUGCUGUGACCCGAAAGAUGGUGAACUAUACUUGAUCAGGUUGAAGUCAGGGGAAACCCUGAUGGAAGACCGAAACAGUUCUGACGUGCAAAUCGAUUGUCAGAAUUGAGUAUAGGGGCGAAAGACCAAUCGAACCAUCUAGUAGCUGGUUCCUUCCGAAGUUUCCCUCAGGAUAGCUGGUGCAUUUUAAUAUUAUAUAAAAUAAUCUUAUCUGGUAAAGCGAAUGAUUAGAGGCCUUAGGGUCGAAACGAUCUUAACCUAUUCUCAAACUUUAAAUGGGUAAGAACCUUAACUUUCUUGAUAUGAAGUUCAAGGUUAUGAUAUAAUGUGCCCAGUGGGCCACUUUUGGUAAGCAGAACUGGCGCUGUGGGAUGAACCAAACGUAAUGUUACGGUGCCCAAAUUAACAACUCAUGCAGAUACCAUGAAAGGCGUUGGUUGCUUAAAACAGCAGGACGGUGAUCAUGGAAGUCGAAAUCCGCUAAGGAGUGUGUAACAACUCACCUGCCGAAGCAACUAGCCCUUAAAAUGGAUGGCGCUUAAGUUGUAUACCUAUACAUUACCGCUAAAGUAGAUGAUUUAUAUUACUUGUGAUAUAAAUUUUGAAACUUUAGUGAGUAGGAAGGUACAAUGGUAUGCGUAGAAGUGUUUGGCGUAAGCCUGCAUGGAGCUGCCAUUGGUACAGAUCUUGGUGGUAGUAGCAAAUAAUCGAAUGAGACCUUGGAGGACUGAAGUGGAGAAGGGUUUCGUGUGAACAGUGGUUGAUCACGAGUUAGUCGGUCCUAAGUUCAAGGCGAAAGCCGAAAAUUUUCAAGUAAAACAAAAAUGCCUAACUAUAUAAACAAAGCGAAUUAUAAUACACUUGAAUAAUUUUGAACGAAAGGGAAUACGGUUCCAAUUCCGUAACCUGUUGAGUAUCCGUUUGUUAUUAAAUAUGGGCCUCGUGCUCAUCCUGGCAACAGGAACGACCAUAAAGAAGCCGUCGAGAGAUAUCGGAAGAGUUUUCUUUUCUGUUUUAUAGCCGUACUACCAUGGAAGUCUUUCGCAGAGAGAUAUGGUAGAUGGGCUAGAAGAGCAUGACAUAUACUGUUGUGUCGAUAUUUUCUCCUCGGACCUUGAAAAUUUAUGGUGGGGACACGCAAACUUCUCAACAGGCCGUACCAAUAUCCGCAGCUGGUCUCCAAGGUGAAGAGUCUCUAGUCGAUAGAAUAAUGUAGGUAAGGGAAGUCGGCAAAUUAGAUCCGUAACUUCGGGAUAAGGAUUGGCUCUGAAGAUUGAGAUAGUCGGGCUUGAUUGGGAAACAAUAACAUGGUUUAUGUGCUCGUUCUGGGUAAAUAGAGUUUCUAGCAUUUAUGUUAGUUACUUGUUCCCCGGAUAGUUUAGUUACGUAGCCAAUUGUGGAACUUUCUUGCUAAAAUUUUUAAGAAUACUAUUUGGGUUAAACCAAUUAGUUCUUAUUAAUUAUAACGAUUAUCAAUUAACAAUCAAUUCAGAACUGGCACGGACUUGGGGAAUCCGACUGUCUAAUUAAAACAAAGCAUUGUGAUGGCCCUAGCGGGUGUUGACACAAUGUGAUUUCUGCCCAGUGCUCUGAAUGUCAAAGUGAAGAAAUUCAAGUAAGCGCGGGUCAACGGCGGGAGUAACUAUGACUCUCUUAAGGUAGCCAAAUGCCUCGUCAUCUAAUUAGUGACGCGCAUGAAUGGAUUAACGAGAUUCCUACUGUCC
rnacentral:rRNA from 1 species